AGUGAACGCUGGCGGGAGGCCUAACACAUGCAAGUCGAACGGCAGCACAGGAGAGCUUGCUCUCUGGGUGGCGAGUGGCGGACGGGUGAGGAAUACAUCGGAAUCUACUCUGUCGUGGGGGAUAACGUAGGGAAACUUACGCUAAUACCGCAUACGACCUACGGGUGAAAGCAGGGGACCUUCGCGCCUCGCGCGAUUGAAGGAGCCGAUGUCGGAUUAGCUAGUUGGCGGGGUAAAGGCCCACCAAGGCGACGAUCCGUAGCUGGUCUGAGGGGAUGAUCAGCCACACUGGAACUGAGACACGGUCCAGACUCCUACGGGAGGCAGCAGUGGGGAAUAUUGGACAAUGGGCGCAAGCCUGAUCCAGCCAUACCGCGUGGGUGAAGAAGGCCUUCGGGUUGUAAAGCCCUUUUGUUGGGAAAGAAAUCCAGCUGGCUAAUACCCGGUUGGGAUGACGGUACCCAAAGAAUAAGCACCGGCUAACUUCGUGCCAGCAGCCGCGGUAA
rnacentral:rRNA from 1 species